UACGUAGGUGGCAAGCGUUGUCCGGAAUUAUUGGGCGUAAAGCGCGCGCAGGCGGUUUCUUAAGUCUGAUGUGAAAGCCCACGGCUCAACCGUGGAGGGUCAUUGGAAACUGGGGAACUUGAGUGCAGAAGAGAAGAGCGGAAUUCCACGUGUAGCGGUGAAAUGCGUAGAUAUUCGGAGGAACACCAGUGGCGAAAGCGACUUUCUGGGACGUUCCUGACGCUGAGGUUCGAAAGCUCGGGGAGCAAACAGG
rnacentral:rRNA from 1 species